rnacentral:ncRNA from 1 species
CAUCUUCGGGGCAGGGUGAAAAUCCCGACCGGCGGUAAUAAGGUAAAACCUUUAGCCCGCGAGUCUAUUUAUUAGACAGGAUUUGGUGAGAUUCCAAAGCCGACAGUACAGUCUGGAUGGGAGAAGAUG